GCGGGGGCAGGAGCGGGACGGUAGAGGCGCUCGCCCUGCCGGGCUGUUGUUGCUCCUGCUAACGGUUGCGUAAGCGGCUGUUCAGAAGGUUUAGACCGGUUUGGACCCGGAUGCAGCCUUGCUACUGCGCGGAGCCCCAGUCUCCCCUGCGCGCCGUGCUGUCGUCAGAGCAAGGGAGCGAAUCGCCAUUUGGGAGCACCGACGUCUCUUUUCUCUUUGAUGCAUACCCUCUUCCAGUAUUUGGACCUGAUGCAACUUUCUCCUGAGGAAGAAAAGCAGGAAUCUGUUGUGGCUUCCAGUACAGAUGGGAUCCUACACGCUCUCUUUGCCCUGAAGGACAGUCAGAGGCCACUCCUCCAGAUGAUAAUCUCACCCAAGGGGACUCUAAUAGUGGUGAACUUGGUGCCCUUCAUUGGAUCCCCACCCUAACCUUCAUCACCUCUAGGAUCUCAGGUGUUGCAGCGCCCACAGUUAUUUGUUCUAAAGCACUAUGUCCAGUGAUGCACUGCCCAUUUGGUCUCCUCUAUUUGGGAGGAGGAGGAAAACACAUGCUCCAUACUGAGGCUCUGAGAAGAUCUAGGAGGAGGCUACUAUAAAUGCAUAUGUCCCAAGUUUCUCACAACUGGUACAACAGUUGGGUCGGGAGCUGCCUCAUCCAAACCUGCAGAUUCAGAUCUGUUUCUAGUACCCACAGAGUGGUUCCCCAGCUGUUUGAGGCCUCUUGGUCUGUAUUUGUGCUUGCCUGCAACUUCCCACAUUGCUGAAGGUUGGCAGAAACUUAGUUCCCUGUCCUCAUCCCCUCUUUUUUAAGUCAAGAGAUCAGAGCAUAUUCUUUAUUAUAGAGGUAUAUCAGUGCCCCUAUAGUUAUAGUUGAGUAUAAAAAUCAGUGUUUUUAUCCUAAAAAUCAGUCCUAAAAUCUAAAUUUGCCCCAUCUUCCUGAAAUUUUGCAAACAUCAGCUAGAUGACAAAUGCUACAACUUCUUCAGGAUUUUUUUUUUUUAAGAAGUGAAGAGGGUACUCUCCCUCAUUCCUAACCAGUACACACACAAUGCUUAUAUAGAUCUGAAAUGAUCCACAGCAAAGUCUCUUAUAAUACAGUAUAUAUAUUUUAAAAGAAUAUCAAGAACUCCUCUCUAUUCUGUUGAUGGUAUAAUGAGAAAGGAAUACGAAUAUGACAGUGGAUAUUUAUAUACCACUUAUCUAUAAAAGUUCCCAAAGCGGUUAACAUAUAAAUAAAUAAAUUAAAUUAAAUGGCUUCCUGUCCCCAACAAGCUCAUAAUCUAAAAAAGAAACAUAAGAUGGAUGCCAGCAACAGCCACUUGAAGGAUGCUGUGCUGGGGAUUACCGUUAAGCAGGAUCCUGUGGUUUAAGGCGGAGAAUGAUACUGUAUUUACUUGAAUCCAAGAUUAGGUUUUUCCAAAUCUUUAGAUAUUAGAAAUCAGGAGAUCAUUUUAAAUUCAGAGUCAUGUUCCUUUUGAGUAAAUGCAGGUAUAACCUGUAUUUAACCUCUACUUUUUAAGGGGGUCAUCUUAAAUUCAGAGAUGUCUUCAAUUCAAGUAAAUACGGUAUGCGGUGUAUGCAUAGAGGCUGUGUCCUUUUUUACAAUGUAAUACUUUGUAGCUGGCUGUCUAUAGCAGCAGUAAGUAGUAGCCUCUCUAUAUUGUAUAGGCUCUAAUUAUGAAGAGAAAUGUACAUAGUCUAUGCUCAGAGGCUGUGCCCUCUAAUGACACAUUUUAAAAUGUACUUGUCAUUAAACUGGCCAUUUUUCAGUCUAAAGGUCCAAACCUUCCUUUAUUCUAAACUCCAUUUUGAGCUUGUCUGAUCCCAUGUUUAGAACUGUGCAUGCAUGUUUCCAAGUCGCAUGACCAAUCUGAUUUCUAUAUGAUCUCCCUGUGUCAGGAAAGACUCAAAUGGUGCUAAGUGCCACAUCAUCAAUGCAAACAGGGGAGAGUCUUAUCCCCUAAAACAGAGAUUAAAAUAAUGGCUGAAGUCCUUAUCCUCAAUUGCCAGAGUAAUCAGCCCCAUUGAUCCCAGAGAUCUGCAUGUGAGAUGGAGGGGGCGGGUGGGAGAUUUUAAAAAUUAUUAUACUUCUCUACAAUCUUUCCCAUGGCAGAUGGUGAAAGAACAAAUCUUUCUUUAUAAAAGCUAGGUGGGUUUUUGUCAGUUGUUGGGUUCUUCUCCUUGUUCUUGGAUUGUUCUGAGUUCCUGCUCUUGAGAUGAUUUCUGUAUUAGUUUAGCUUUUACCUUUAUUGAGUUCUUGGCUGAGUCCUGACUGCAUAGCUCCAGAGAGCAUGAAGAAAGCUACUCUGAUUGGCUGAGUGGAAGAAAGCUCCAUUCAUGAUGCAAACUUUUUAUUUCUGAACUUCAACCUGACAACUGAAAUCUUUUAGCCUCCUGCCUAACAUCAGGCAAGACGAGCAGGUACCUUGUAUGCAUAUUUUGAAUAUUUUCCUUUUUACAUCUCCAAAUUCUUGUUUCCUUUUAUACUUAAUUAAAUAAACUAGGUUUUUAAUUGUUUUAAACUUAUUCUAUCUGUGCGUAUUUUAAGACAUUUUUGGAUAUGUUUUGAGGACACCCCUGUUUGGGGCUAAACAGGGAAGCUUUCUCUCUACAAAAGUGGUGUUGGUGGCAAAACCUCCUGUUUAAACAUGCAAGAAGGGUGUGCCCAGUAAGGAUUUGACCAGACUGCGACAGCAUUGUUUUGUGUGCAGCAGGGGGAAAGCAAGACAAACACCAUCCUGUGACUGAUUAAACCUACUAUAAGUUUACAAGUUUAUGAAAACAACAUACAUGUAGCAACUCUUAUUUCUUUCUCGAUGUAAAUUACUUUGAUAACCUUUUUGCUGAAAAGCAGUAAAUAGAUAUUUGCAAUAACAAUAACUAAAUACCAAUGUGAAUGAGGUACCUAUAAUUCCUUCUUGAAUGUUGCCAGUGUAUACUGAUAUUGAUAGCUAUGUGCAAUACACCUAGCACUAGUCCACUGAACCCACUUUAUAUCUUUGCUGGAUUUUUAAAGAUGAGGAAAUUAAAACUCUAAAAAGCGUAGAAACUGCAAGUUAACGUGGUAACCUUAACUUCUAUGGCAUUCUCUGCUAACAGAGCAAAGAGACACCUUUUUAAAAUAGCGAUUUUCUUUAUUUAGCAGGGGGAGAGCAACUGGCCCUAUCCAUCCCCAGCACAGCAUCCCUCCAGAGGCUGUUGCUGAGUGCUGGCAUCAAGCUGUGUGUGUGUGUGUGUGUGUGUGUGUGUGUGUGUGUGUGUGUGUGUGUGUGUGUAAACCACUUUGGGAACUCUUGUUGAAAAGCAGUAUAUAAAUAUUUAUCAUCGUAUUCAUAAGUAGUAAAGACUCUGUGGUGUAUUAUGCUGGGUUUACAAAUUAGGUUCCAUGCACCCACAUGUUGUCUUGCUCUUUCAAUUCAACAUUGUGCUGAGGAGGGAUAUAUCCAAAGAGAAAUUCAACAAAUGCAGCUCCCCCAGUCACUUAUUAGAGAUGCACCUCAUUAAUUUCUGCCUGAUGCAUGAAGGACAACAUAGGAUGGUCACAAGAGGAGUUAUUUCAUGACUAAUGAGGAUCAAAACAAAUAGCUGUACUAGCAUCCAGUAGAACUUAAUUGGGAUCUUCAGAAUCCACUACAGAAUCCACACAUUAUGUUCCAGCACAUAUAAGCAGUAUAUAGUGUACACAUGUACAGAUCUGUAUGCAUGUAAUGCAUGUAACAUAAUGCAUCCACACAUUAUGUUCCAUGCAUGCACAGUAAUACAGUUCCUUUCUAUAUCCUGCAUCUGAGGGAGCUUUUACCAAGAUUCAUUUUUAAAAUGAGUACAUGUACAUAAAAUGAGCACAUGUACACACACAAACACGUACAUAUGCACAAACACCUGUAUACACAUAUACAGUAAUUUCAGAAUAGGGCUAGAUUGGAUAGUCACAACUGUUUGAAUGCCACAACUGUUUUGAAUUCUAUUCUUAUAUGGUGUCUGAAGACACAGAAUAUAUAUAUUUCUUUUAAGUCUGUUUGAUGGGGAUUUUUAUGGGUGUAUACAAUUAGUGCAGUCUUUCUUAGUUUUUUAAGAUACUAUAUUUAUUAUACUUUAAAAAACCAUGUCUCAUCAUAUAAUCAUUUCUUUGGAUUUUUGUUUUGUUUUGUUCUGCUUAUUGAGUGAAUUUCUAUCCAAUGCUAAAUGUAGACAUGCUAUUUGUGGAAUCAGAAUUUCAUCCAAACAUUCCAAACUUCCAUAAAAGUUUAAAAUAGCUAAUUUAAACAGAAAUGAAGAUAUGAAUGUUUCUACAGUAAUAAGACCAAUUUAUGUGCUGUAAAUAGCAUCAACCAAACUGUUAGUUCCAUUUCAUGAGUCUGUCAAAUGCUUUAAGAAUAGUUAUUAAAAUUUAACAAAUUUGUUUUCUCUUCUGCAAGAGAAUGUACAUACAGUAGAAAUAAACAAACUAUGGGUAUGAUUCAGCACUUAUAAAUGUCAUUUUUUUAAAAAUGGGAGAGAGCAAAGCACAUUGUUAAGCAUUCUAUUAAAAUCAAUAGGACAUAGAAUUGCUUAACAUGUUGCUGGAUCAUGUUCUAGAUGUUUUGAACUGGGCGCAAGAAAACCUAACUCAUUCCACCCAAGGGUGUGUGCCUGGUAAUUGACAAAUAUGCAGCACUGAAGCACCCUAUAUUUAUCAUCCUUUAUGGAGAAAGACAGGAAGUACUUAUGGAAGCAUUCUAGGAAGAUUAUUCAUCAUCUUUAUUUGUGAAUCAGAUUGUAGUCAGGAAGGGAGUUUCCAAAAAGUAUUCAACAAUGCUUUUGAACUUGACCUCAGCCAUAUAAACAGCACAGUCAUUUGUCUGGAAAUCACAGUCUGAUUUGGUAUUGCAGAUGUGCUCAAGAGAUAAAGCAUUUCAGCCUUCUUUUAAUAGUGUUUAAUAUAAAACAUAGCACUCACAUCACCAUAGUAGCUACAACUUUACAGCAGCUACACCUACAGUGUAGUUGUAUGAUGAACAGUGCAGUUGAAUGCUGUGCAGUUGAAUGAUGAACAAGUGCAUAUACUCUGUGCAGUGCAGAGUAUAUCUACAGUGCAGUUGAAUGAUGAACAAGACAUAUACUCUGCACUGUAGGAAUUACUCUCGAGGCACACAGAAAUGGUGUUUGCUUGUUUCGAGGUAACCACUUCAUGGGUUUCUGAUUUAGCACAUGGAACUGGCCUAGGAGAAUGGGCAGUUGCUACCCAGCUAUUACUAUGUGCUAAGUUGCAGCAAAUAUCUUCAAGGACAAGCCAAAUGGAACUAUGGUAAGACAGAAAAAAAUAGCAAAUUUUAAGGAAUACAUUUAUUAUAUGCUUAUGUAUUUGUUUGUUUAUUCAGACCACAUUUUCCAGCCAGGACUGGCUCCUAAAGCAGCUUACAAUUUAAAUCUGCAAAAAAAGGUACAACAUGUUGGGUGCAAUGUAUUAGAGGGGAGGUGCUUAUAGAAACGUCUUCUGGUCCCUGGGAGUGAUGUAAUAAACCAGGUACCAGACUCUCCACGCCACAGAGGGUAGGCAGAAGGAGCUGCAGAUGAACUCUCAGGUUGACAGAUGUUAGUCCACAGACGCAGCUCCUUCAAUGAAUCUUUUGUGGAUGCUUACACUCCCUGCAGUCAAUGAUGGAGCCCAGAUUCCAGACUCCUCCAUCCAUAGCUUACAUAUAUGGAGAAAAACUGUCUCAGCUACUGUGUUUUCCAGUGCUAUUUAUUUCCAAGAUAGGAUCAAAAAACAUACUACUUGCAGUACCAGGUUUUGAGAUAGCCCUGGCACAGCAGUAGAUUAUUGCACAAUAGAUACAAUAUGAGUAUCAGUCAAUCUGCUGGCUGGCCGGCGGGUAGGCAGGCAUUUCAAGCUCCCACUGAUUUCUCCCGAAGAGUAUUGCUACCUGUUACCAUGACAAUGGCAGAACUGAAGGAACAACCUGCUUAUGGCUGGGUGCGUUAAUGGGAUGAGAGAGCAUGAACUUGUAUGUGUGUUCUUGGAUGCUUUUAUGAGUCAAGCACUGUAGUGAAAUUCAGCUUAAGUAUUUCCAGUUCUACAGCAUGAACUUAUCAUGCUGAAAUCAUUUUGUAUUUGAAGGCUUAUGUGAUAAUAGGUCAGUUCCUCUCCACCCACUCCAGGAAAACAAACAAAAAUGUGCUUAAUUAAUUGCAUUUCCCUGUUAAGAAUGGCAUAAAUCUUAAGCCUAGCAUUGAACUUAUGUGAAAUCUGCCUUCUAAUUAAGUAACAAUUUGACUUCUCCAUCGAAACAUUAUGUCAAAGGCCUCAAUCACAAAUAAACCCUUUUGCUCAGCCAA